AGGGACCCGGCCGCUUCUGGCCUCCCUAGGGGCUGCGUGUGUCAGUCCGACCUCCGCACGUGUCCACCGCGGCGCAGAGCAGGGACAGCUAACCCUUUGACUGACAUGUUCGUCUUUUUAACUGGAUACAAUAUAUCCACCACUGCAGGAGGACCACUGACCCUGGAACAGAGGACACGUAAAAUGAUCUUGGGCCUUGGCAAAGCCACAGCUGUUUCUGGGAAGUCUUGCUGUGAAUGAUAUGGGAGAUAUUCAAGAGAUUGGAGGCACACAGGUGGCAAUUACGUGUGUAGAGCUGUUGGGGAAAAUAUUCCCAGCAAUGAAUGUCGUUGGCUUUCCCAGCACAGUGGAGGAAGCAAUCUCGCUGGUGCAUGGCUCAAGCAGGGUGCAGUUGGACGGCUGCAGUAACAAGAUCAUGGGAUUCUACAGUUGAGUGUUAAUUCUCCUUUGGAAGACUGUCGUGCUGUCUGCUGGAUCCUCCUCUGAGUCUGUGUGAUGAGAUCAAAGGGCUUUCAUUUUCUGUAUCAAUUAGGCUGGCUGUCUUGUCUCAAUGAGAUUAAGCAGCCUCAGGAGACUAGUGCCACCAGAGCAGAGGGUCUAUGAGCUGAUGGUUAGCAUACCACAUGGCUGUAUUAAUUCCUUCUAAGCAAUAGUUUGUCUAAUCUGAUGUCUCUCUUUUAUGUCUGUGUCCCUGGCCUAUUUGUCCAGGGCAACCAUGCAGCGCACACCAGACCUGAUAAUCAGUGGUCCGAGUUUCCGAAAAGGCUGGAGAGACACGUGGAUUCUCUCCUAGG